UACGUAGGUCCCGAGCGUUGUCCGGAUUUAUUGGGCGUAAAGCGAGCGCAGGUGGUUUAUUAAGUCUGGUGUAAAAGGCAGUGGCUCAACCAUUGUAUGCAUUGGAAACUGGUAGACUUGAGUGCAGGAGAGGAGAGUGGAAUUCCAUGUGUAGCGGUGAAAUGCGUGGAUAUAUGGAGGAACACCGGUGGCGAGAGCGGCUCUCUGGCCUGUAACUGACACUGAGGCUCGAGAGCGUGGGGAGCAAACAGG
rnacentral:rRNA from 1 species